UUGCUGCAAUUUACACAAGCAAAAAAGCGGAACGAGCAGAGACCGAAAGGGUGGUGGUACGACGGCAUGUACGGAAAAAGAGAUUCCGAGGUGUCAAAACAAAAUAAAAGAAUCAUGGAUUCAAUGGAUUCUGAGAGGCCAAGACAGAUAGCAAA